rnacentral:lncRNA from 1 species
ACCUAACAGUGCUAUAGAAUACUAAAACUUAUUCCUCCUAUGCGUUAACCAACCUCUCCCUAUUCCCCCACCCCUCUUUCCUUCCCAGACUCUAACAAUUACAAUACUAUUAUCUACUUUUAUGAGCUCAAUUUUUUUAGCUCCCACAUAUGGGUGAGACAUUCUGCUAUUUAUGUUUCUGUGCUUGACUUAUUUCAGUUAACAUAAUGUCCUCCAGUUUCAUCUAUGUUGCUGUGAAUGACAGAAUUGCAUUAUUUUUAUGGCUGGAUAGUAUGCCAUUGUGUAUAUAUGCCACAUUUUAAAAAUCCAUUCAUCUAGUGAUGAAUAUUUAGGUUAAUAUCCUGGCUAUCAUGAAUAGUGCUGCAAUAAUUAUGGGGGUGCAGGUAUCUUUUGAUAUACUGACUUUCUUCCCUUUGAAUAAAUACCCAGUAGUGAGAUUGCUGGAUCAUAUCAUAGUUCUAUUUUAGGUUCUUUGAUAAACUUCUAAACUGUUUUCCAUAAUGGCAGUACCAAUUUAACCUUCAUACUGACCAUAAAUAAGAAUUCCCUUUUUCUCUGCAUACUCGCCAGCACUUCUUUUUGUUUGAUUUUGUUUUGUUUUGUUUUUGAUGAAAGCCAUUCUAACUGCAGUGAAAUGAUGUCUCACUGUUCUUUUGAUCUGCAUUUCUCUGAUGAUUAGUGGUGCUGAGCAUUUUUUUCAUAUAUUUCGCCAUUUUGUACCUUCUUUAGAGAAAUGUCUAUUUAGAGCCUUUGCCCAUUUUUUAAUCCCAUUUUUUUUUUCUGUUGAGUUCCUCGUCUAGUCAGGGUAUUAAAAUCCCUGUUGAAUAAAUAGUUUGCAAAUAUUUCCUCCCAUUCCGUAGGUUAUCUCUUCACUUUUUCAGUUGUUUCCUUUGGUGUGUAGAAGCUUUUUACCUUGAUGUGAUCCCACUUAUCCAUUUUUGCUUUGGUUGCCUAUGCUUUCUUUUGUGAUCUUACUCAAUAAAUAUUUGCACAGACAAAAUGUCCUGGAGAGUUUCCCCAGAGUUUUCUUCUAGUAGUAUCAUAGUGUCAGGUCUUAGAUUUAAGUCUUUAAUCCAUUGUGAUUCGAUUUUUGUAUAUGGUACUAGAAGGGGUUCUGGUUUCAUUUUUCUGCCUACAUAUACCUAGUUUUUCCAGCAUCAUUUAUUGAAGAGGCUAUCAUUUUCCCAAUUUAUAUUCUUGGGAACUUUAUUAAAAAUGAGUUGACUAUAAAUAUCUGGAUUUACUUUGGGAUUUUCUAUUCUGUUGCAUUGUUACAUGUGUCUGUUAUUAUGUCAGUACUGUCCCAUUUUGGUUACUAUAGAUUUAUAGUAUAAUUUGAAGUCAGGUAAUGCAAUGCCUUCACCUUUUGCUCAGGAUUGCUUUGGCUAUUUGGGUUAUUUUGUGGUUCAAUAAAAAUUUUAGGAUAUUUUUUCUAUUUCUGUAAAUAUGUCAUUGUUAUAGUGAUAGGAAUUACAUUACAACUGGAGAUCACUUUGAGAAGUAUGAUAAUUUUAACAAUAUUUUUUUAAGUUGUGAUUUAUGUUGAUAAUUUUUCUUUUUUGAUACAAGGUGUCUGUCUGACAUCCAAGUUGGAGUGGAGUGGCAUGAUCCUAGCACACUCCAGCCUCGAACUCCUGAGCUGAAGCAAUCUUCCAGCCUCAGCCUCCCAAGAAGCUGGGAUUAUAGAAAUUCUGUGGCGUAACAAGUUGCUGUCACACUGGCUUUUUAAAAUAUAUGUAUAUAUUUGAAAUACACAUGCACACAACUAAGUUAGAUUCGUCCACCGUUACUAAUAGAAAACUACAAUGUAGUGGCUUAAAAGGAGAAGGAAUUCUGUUUCUCAUGGUUCAGUGUGAAUGAGUGCAGUAUUCAAAAACAUGAAGUCAGAGUCCAGUACUCAAGUUCUGUAUCACUGAACAUCCUGUGGAAGGCCACCAGUCAAAGAGCAGCAAGAGCACACCUAAAUUAGGAUUAUUAGCUUGCUUCAGCUAAGGAGAAAGUUCUUCAUGAGAGCCAUCUAACCUCUUGGAAUCAGUUCAAUAAGUGGUUAUCUCGGGAAGUUUUAUUAAGAGUCAGAAGAAAUGAAGCUAGGCUGGGCAUGUCUUUGCUCAGAAGAAAAAAUUGUUACCAUCUUGCAUUAGCUUUGUGGUCUUUUUGAAUAAUAAUUAUAUUACCAAAACUAGAGAGAAAAAGUAAAAGAUCUAUAGCAUUGCUAACAUCUACUGUAUGUAAUUUGUUAUAUUUUUUAUUAUGUAUAAUAAAUGCUAUUCAGGCUCUUCUCAAUAUUACAUGCUUACAUUUCAGCUAAGAAAAUGGUAAAUUGUAUUCCAUAGACAUAUAACUUGUAGAAAAAUCAUUAAUUUAAAAAGAGCCAUAGCCAGGCACUGUGGCUUAUACCUAUAAUCCUAGCUAUUCACGCUGUCUAGAUGGGAGCAUCCCUUGAGUCCAGUAGUUCCAGGCUGCAGUGAGCUAUGAUCCUGCCACUACACUGCAGCCUGGGAAACAGAGGGAGUUCCCCAUCUCUUGAAAAAAAAAGCGGCAUCCAUAUUCUAAGUAUAAAUUAUUAUUAUUUGUCUAGGUUUUGCCAAUGCACUUUAUUAUAUAAUAUUAAGUAUUGAUUAAACUUACAUAUGGUAUACAAUUAGCUAUUUCUUUCCUAAAUGUAAGAAAUCUUCUUAUGUUUUUAUGUUUUUAAGAAGAGGAAAACUAACCUGAAUCUUAAACACAUUUCAUGUAUGAUACACUUCCUAUAUUACUCUUAUAAGACAAAGACAAUAUCAAAUAAAGAAAAUCUUGACAAUUAUGUAGUCAUAAGCUUUUAAACAAGAACCAAAUAGAUACUAGAUGAAUUUUCUCCUUUGGAUAUAAAAAAAAAUACUGAAGAUGUAGUCAUUUCGGGCAGCUGCAUUCCAUAUUUAGGGAAAGUUAUACAGUUUUUUUUUCAAAAAAAUAUUAAAUAUUAUUAAGAUAUUGAAAGAAAAUGAGAUAUGUUAUGCAUGUUCCUAGUAUAUCCCACACUAAUAAACACAUUUUUACAAAACUUUAUAAUAUAAUAGAUAUGUAAUGAUGUAUUUAUAUAAUGUGAUUGUUUUCUAAAAGCAGUAAAACAACAAAAUAUUCAAAGUCUAUUUAUAUAUAUUAAUAUUAUGUUUUGUAAAUUUUUUCUUCUAAUUGAACUUUUAAAACAGUUUUAAAGUACUGUCAG